AUGGAGAUGGUACAGUCAGCACUUGUGGCUGAGGCCGUGAGCGCAGCCGUGUCCUUCCUGUUCACCGGCCGCGGGGAGAAGGCGUCGCCGGAGCGCCUCAUGGAGAGGAUGGAAAUGGCGCACACAAGGCUGUCUCUGGGGCUCGAGAGGACCAGGAGGAUGCCCAUGACCAUCAUACCGUUGUUUUGCCUAAAGAAGAAGCUCAAGGAUGCGUUUGAGGAGUGCGAUGGUCUGCUCGACAAGGCGAGGGAUCUCCGGCAGGUGGUGCCCUCUUUUCCCACAAAGAUUAUGCAAGCCGUCCUGCCCUCUUUCGUUGUCCCGAAACCGAAACAAGAUGUGCUGAGCAGCUCUGUUGUUGCAAGAUUUGAGUGGCUUGCCGAGGAAGCCGACAAGUUUGUCAGGGACGUGGAGUCCGGAUCGUCGCUUUCUCACUACAGGUUCCUGAACCCUCUCAUCGGGCAGCUUCUUGAAGGUAAAAAUAUCCUCUACCACAAGGUGCAAAGAAGCCAGUCGUGUUCUCUUGGCAUAUGGCCGGUCUUUGUGGAAGAGUAUGGCAGGGUUGCAAGGCUAGCUUUUCUUUAUGAAGACCGCAUGGCGCCGCAUAAAAGUUUUAGGCUAAUGUUGGCUCUGAGACUGUACGAGAGCACAAACAUAGUUGGAGUUGCCGCGCAGUGUUUGCAGUCAAUUGGAGCUCAGUUCAAGCCUAUGGCCAAAGUUGGAGCUGGGGAACUCACUCGAUUACCUACACAAGAUGUCAUGUACUGUGAUUCAGUCGAUUCGCUAUGCUGGGAUGAGAUAGUCCGAAUGACUACAAAAUGGAGUCCAGACCCAAUGUGUUGCAUAGCAAAUGGGAUCAACAAGCCAUGUGCUAACAAUACCAUCUCAUCCGAGUUGACAGGCAGGUUCCCACAAGAAGUGAUGUUCGUUUUAUUCAAGUGUUGUUUUUCAGCUUCUGAUCACUGCUCGAGGAGCUCAAGUAAUGAAGCCUAUAUCAACACCAUAAGAGCCUGGCCACCUCUAAAGCUGUCUGUUGGCUUUGCACCUCAUAUCUCGCCCAACCUCCCGGACGAGAGUAGCUUACACCAAAUAGAAGAGGGGAUAAGAAGAGAGGCAAUCGAUUAUUUCAUUCAACACCCAGAGCUGACGGACUAUGAAAUGGACUGGAACUCAGCACAUGGGUGGGCUAGUUUUCGUGUUUCGAAGCCGAUCACUGAAACUAGGAGAGGGUUGAAGAGAAGGCGUUAG
rnacentral:rRNA from 1 species